CAAAUCGUACCCCAAACCGACACAGGUGGUCAGGUAGAGAAUACCAAGGCGCUUGAGAGAACUCGGGUGAAGGAACUAGGCAAAAUGGUGCCGUAACUUCGGGAGAAGGCACGCUGACACGUAGGUGAAGUGAUUUACUCAUGGAGCUGAAGUCAGUCGAAGAUACCAGCUGGCUGCAACUGUUUAUUAAAAACACAGCACUGUGCAAACACGAAAGUGGACGUAUACGGUGUGACGCCUGCCCGGUGCCGGAAGGUUAAUUGAUGGGGUCAGCGCAAGCGAAGCUCCUGAUCGAAGCCCCGGUAAACGGCGGCCGUAACUAUAACGGUCCUAAGGUAGCGAAAUUCCUUGUCGGGUAAGUUCCGACCUGCACGAAUGGCGUAAUGAUGGCCAGGCUGUCUCCACCCGAGACUCAGUGAAAUUGAACUCGCUGUGAAGAUGCAGUGUACCCGCGGCAAGACGGAAAGACCCCGUGAACCUUUACUAUAGCUUGACACUGAACAUUGAGCCUUGAUGUGUAGGAUAGGUGGGAGGCUUUGAAGUGUGGACGCCAGUCUGCAUGGAGCCGACCUUGAAAUACCACCCUUUAAUGUUUGAUGUUCUAACGUGGACCCGUUACCCGGGUUGCGGACAGUGUCUGGUGGGUAGUUUGACUGGGGCGGUCUCCUCCUAAAGAGUAACGGAGGAGCACGAAGGUUGGCUAAUCCUGGUCGGACAUCAGGAGGUUAGUGCAAUGGCAUAAGCCAGCUUGACUGCGAGCGUGACGGCGCGAGCAGGUGCGAAAGCAGGUCAUAGUGAUCCGGUGGUUCUGAAUGGAAGGGCCAUCGCUCAACGGAUAAAAGGUACUCCGGGGAUAACAGGCUGAUACCGCCCAAGAGUUCAUAUCGACGGCGGUGUUUGGCACCUCGAUGUCGGCUCAUCACAUCCUGGGGCUGAAGUAGGUCCCAAGGGUAUGGCUGUUCGCCAUUUAAAGUGGUACGCGAGCUGGGUUUAGAACGUCGUGAGACAGUUCGGUCCCUAUCUGCCGUGGGCGCUGGAGAACUGAGGGGGGCUGCUCCUAGUACGAGAGGACCGGAGUGGACGCAUCACUGGUGUUCGGGUUGUCAUGCCAAUGGCACUGCCCGGUAGCUAAAUGCGGAAGAGAUAAGUGCUGAAAGCAUCUAAGCACGAAACUUGCCCCGAGAUGAGUUCUCCCUGAGACUUAGAGUCUCCUGAAGGAACGUUGAAGACGACGACGUUGAUAGGCCGGGUGUGUAAGCGCAGCGAUGCGUUGAGCUAACCGGUACUAAUGAACCGUGAGGCUUAACCUU
rnacentral:rRNA from 1 species